AAUUCCCUCUAGAUAGGCGGAACAAGGCUUGUUCCGCCUUCUCACUCGAAGGGUAGGCGGUGGAAUUUUGCCAAUUUGGAUCUCGCCGAUCUCAACAGCGGAAUUAUAGGAGGUAGCGAUCUUUCAGGCGAGCAAUUUCAUCCCCAAAUUUAUUUAUCUUACUUCUUUCCCUCCAAUUUUUCCCUCUAAAAAGUUCCCUCUACUUUUCCCCAGCUAUUAAUAGGAGUAUUUUAGGAGAACAAGAGAAGAAUUUUCAGGCAAAUGGGAUCUCAAGUGACGGGAGGCAAAGAAAAUAGAGGUCCUGUUAAUUGGAGGCUCAACAGGCACCAUGCUUGAUGUUUACUUAGGGGAGUCUCAGGUUAUACAUCAACAAAGUGCUGGGUUAAUCAUAGACAUGCACAACUACGCAAUGCAGUGGAGAAGGCAUGGGGAAUUUUAAAGCAAAGAUUCAAAAUUUUGAAAGUUCUAGCUCCAUUUCCUUAUAAAACUCAAGUCAAAAUCGUCAUAGCUUGUUGUGUUCUUCAUAAUUUUAUUGCAAGGCAUCAUGGAAAUGAUAAAUACUUUAAUAUGCUCAAUGUAUUAGAGAUGAAUGAGGAUGAAGAUGAGGAGGAAGAAGAAGACCCCCAAUACAUGGUUGGUGCAGAUGAAAGUUUAAGGGGUGAGCAACUCCGCAAUAGAACUGCUUUACAGCUUUGGAAUAAUUGAUAUUUGUAGUUGUCGAAUAUCAAAGUAUAAGGAGGUCCCAUUAUGUCUUGUUUUCUUAUAUGUCCCAUUGUGUCGAAUAUUAAAGCAUAAGUUAUUGUUAUGCUUAGAUGUGAUAUGAUGAACCUGUAAUAAGGUAAAUCUCUUGAGUAUUGUUGUUGCUGUUGUUUGCAAGUAGCU